AAAAGAAUGUAUUUUGGCUUAAACAAGUUUUUGUUUUGAAAUUCUAAUAGGGACAAAUAUUCUAUUAUUUACUAUAGUAAUUAAACUAUUUUUAAGACAUUUCAGCCAGUGGUCUUCUUCAGUUUUUUUAGUUAUCAGUUACCACAUGGUGGACAUAUUAUACUUACAAAGAAUCUAAACAUGUGACAUCUUAAUGAUUGUGAAAGUUAAAUUUCUACAUAUGGAUUUAGAAUAUUAUUGUCGAGCCUGUGACUUUAGUUGCAGAAAGCUCGACAUAGGGAUAGUGAUUCGGCGGCGGCGGUGUUAGCUCACUUUUUAAAAGCUUUAUAUUUUAGAAGGUAAAAGACCUGGAUGCUUCAUACUUUGUAUAUGGAGGCCUCAUGACACGAAGUUUCCGUCAGUCACAUGUCCAAUGUCCUUGACCUCAUUUUCAUGGUUCAGUGACUACUUGAAAAAAAAAGUUAAAAUUUUUUGUAAUGUUAAGUACAUCUUAUUAUAAGUAUUAGGAUAACUAUAUUUGGUAUGUGCGUACCUUGCAAGGUC
rnacentral:lncRNA from 1 species